rnacentral:rRNA from 1 species
ACAAUUAAACGGCCGCGGUACCCUAACCGUGCAAAGGUAGCAUAAUCAUUUGUCUACUAAUUAUAGACCUGCAUGAAAGGCAAAAUGAGGAUCUAACUGUCUCUUAUAAUGAAUCAAUUAAACUGAUCUCCUAGUAAAAAAGCUAGGAUUACCACAUAAGACCAGAAGACCCUGUGAAGCUUAAACUAAACCAUUAAACCAUAUAAUAACUACUUUCGGUUGGGGCGACCUUGGAAAAAAAAAGAACUUCCAAUAWCCAKGAUUAUUCAUCAUCACCAGGCCCACAAGCCAACAAAUGACCCAGCAUAGCUGAUCAAUGAACCAAGUUACUCCAGGGAUAACAGCGCAAUCCUCUUCAAGAGUCCAUAUCAAAAAGAGGGUUUACG